GCCCAACUUGCUUUGCCCUCAGCCAGAGCACCUCCAUUCCACUGCUGCUCAGUGGGGCUGAGGGCAAACCCGCACAGUGAGGGAGUGCAGCAGGCAGACCUCUGCCUGGAGAGACUUUCACUCGCUCUGAGUCACACAACAGAGAGUCCCUUAAGCAGCAGCAAAAGGAGAGCUGUCAAAGCAGAAUGCGGCUGCGGCGGAGUUGGGUGUGUUACAUAUCCAUCACUUCUUCCUCCACCGUCUUGUCCUGAGAUUGCACAUACUUCUCCUGCACUGCAAGCGUGGAAGCAAAGUGGAAAUCUGCUCCCACUGCUGCUGACAUCAGAGCUUCCAGGCUCCUGUGCUCCUGGUCCCCAAAGGAACAGCCGUUGGCUUUGUCCACUGCCUGCAUCACCUGCCGCAUGCUGUCCUUAUCCUGGACGUUGAGCGGAACGAAGGACACCAGGC
rnacentral:lncRNA from 1 species